rnacentral:rRNA from 1 species
GUGUCAGCAGCCGCGGUAAUACGUAGGUGGCAAGCGUUAUCCGGAUUUACUGGGUGUAAAGGGCGUGUAGGCGGAUCGACAAGUUGGAUGUGAAAUGUACCGGCUCAACUGGUACGCUGCACCCAAAACUGUCGACCUUGAGUGUUGGAGAGGAUAGUGGAAUUCCUAGUGUAGCGGUAAAAUGCGUAGAUAUUAGGAGGAACACCAGUGGCGAAGGCGGCUAUCUGGACAACAACUGACGCUGAGGCGCGAAAGCGUGGGGAGCAAACAGGAUUAGAAACCCCAGUAGUCC